UACGUAGGGGGCGAGCGUUAUCCGGAUUUACUGGGUGUAAAGGGAGCGUAGACGGUUCUGCAAGUCUGAAGUGAAAGCCCGUGGCUUAACCGCGGAACGGCUUUGGAAACUGUGGAACUGGAGUGCUGGAGAGGCAAGCGGAAUUCCUAGUGUAGCGGUGAAAUGCGUAGAUAUUAGGAGGAACACCAGUGGCGAAGGCGGCUUGCUGGACAGUAACUGACGUUGAGGCUCGAAAGCGUGGGGAGCAA
rnacentral:rRNA from 1 species